rnacentral:rRNA from 1 species
GGUACCGUCAAUAACAACACCUAUUGGAUGAUGUUAAUUUCUUCCCUGUCGACAGAGCUUUACGACCCAAGGGCCUUCUUCACUCACGCGGCGUUGCUGCGUCAGGGUUUCCCCCAUUGCGCAAAAUUCCUCA